AUGGUGGGCUUGCUACAUUGGGACUUUGCACCGGGCAUUGCCCUUGCAGACCAGGUGAGAAGAAGGUUUGGAUCCACAGUUCAUUUCUCACCAUCUAGAGAUGCCAAGGAGUUCUUUUUGGUGGUCUCUUUCUCUUCGGCCUCCUUCCCACUCUCUGUGGAUUCUGUUGGAAUUGCUCUACAAUGUUGUAUU
rnacentral:rRNA from 1 species